rnacentral:lncRNA from 1 species
AGCUGAUCCAGUACAAGCAGUUAGCAGCUUAUAUAGCGGAGAGCUCACUCAUUUGAUCAUAAAUUUCAGAUAUACUUACUACUAGGAGAAUUCUGAUAACAAAGAAUUGCAUAUAAAUUUCACAAAUACUUACUACCAGGAGCAUAUAAAUUACCUUAGACAUCAGGGGUGUACCAUUUUUACUUGUAACCUGCAAUUUUUGUUCAGAAAAUAAUAGUUUACAAAACCAUGAUGUAAAUUAAGUAUAUGCAAAACAUAUGGAGAGUGGCUAAGUUGCAUACACCAUACAUUUUCCCUGGGCCAAGGAAUAGAACGAGCUUGAGCAUUCCCCAUAUUUAAGACCCU